UAGCAAUAGAUUUGGUUAGUCAGAUGCACCCUUUCUCCCAGUGGUAAAAAUAUAAAUACGAUAACUCUGGAUAACCUCCCGGGUGAAAUGCUCACCGAUAUCCGUGCGCUUGCGGAUCAUUUUCUAAUUGCGUUACCAAAUAUCAACACCAGGUCGGUUGGCUCGCCACCGACUUAAGCAUGUCUCCCACGUGUUGGUUUCACCACUACUAUCUCUAAGGUGGUUCACAUGGUCGGUUCAUCCAAGGGCCAAGGUGGAGAAGCACACAGAUUGAUGACGUGGUGGUGGAGUAGCCCCUACUCCACCUUCCCCUAUAAAUAGAGGCUUCCACCACCCUUGAGAAGUAUCCCCA
rnacentral:lncRNA from 1 species